GCUGUGACAUUAACCACGUCUGUGGCAUUAACUAUGUUAGGAAGAACAGAGGGUGGACACUUAGCCUUUGGGUACUUUGGUCCCUGGAAUUUCACAGGAAUAACGGCAGUAAAACAGGAUGCUCAGGUUAACACUAUCAGAUCCCCGCUGCCCUGGGCCUAAACAGGUUUCAGUCUUCCAAUGGGAAGCUCUGUAGCCCAAACUCUAGGGAUAUAAUUCAGAGUUGAGGAGAUUCUAACUUCCAACUCACACUAUUCUUAGACAAACAACCAGCCUAUUCAAAGGUAAAGGAUUUACAGAAUAUAUCCAUCUUGGGACCCAGU
rnacentral:lncRNA from 1 species